rnacentral:rRNA from 1 species
AUGUCCAAGUACGUGGAGCUGCUGGACAUGGGCGUGCGCAUCGCCGCCAGGUUCCACUCCCACUGCCCGCAGACGGCGCGCAUGUACUACAAGCCGCCGCAGUCCACCUCCUCGUCGUCAUCGGGCGCCGCCGAGGCCGCCACGACGGAUCGGAGGGCAGCCGGCUUUGACGGUGGCGAGGACGUGGCGGCUGGCUUCCGGCCCUUCGCAGCCUCGGGAGCUCUCGGCGCCGGCGUCGUCCAGCCGCGGUUCGGCUUCGACACCGCGCAGGUCGUCAUCUACGAGGUCGUAUGA